rnacentral:tRNA from 1 species
UGGGGUGUGGCUCAGUGAUAGGGUGCUCGCCUAGCAUGCGCCGGGCCCUGGGUUCCACCCCAGCACUACAA